CCAGACUCCUACGGGAGGCAGCAGUGAGGAACAUUGGUCAAUGGGCUUACGCCUGAACCAGCCAAGUCGCGUGAGGGAAGACGGUCCUAUGGAUUGUAAACCUCUUUAGGCGGGGAGCAAUGCCGGGCACGCGUGUCCGGAGGGAGAGUACCCGCAGAAUAAGCAUCGGCUAACUCCGUGCCAGCAGCCGCGGUAAUACGGAGGAUGCGAGCGUUAUCCGGAUUUAUUGGGUUUAAAGGGUGCGUAGGCGGAAUGCCAAGUCAGCGGUAAAAUCGCGGGGCUCAACCUCGCUCCGCCGUUGAAACUGGCGUUCUUGAGUGGGCGAGAAGUAUGCGGAAUGCGUGGUGUAGCGGUGAAAUGCAUAGAUAUCACGCAGAACUCCGAUUGCGAAGGCAGCAUACCGGCGCCCAACUGACGCUGAAGCACGAAAGCGUGGGUAUCGAACAGGAUUAGAUACCCGAGUAA
rnacentral:rRNA from 1 species